rnacentral:tRNA from 1 species
GAGUCUCGUUUCCCGCUCCAC